rnacentral:rRNA from 1 species
GAUGAACGCUAGCAGCAGGCCUAAUACAUGCAAGACGAACGGUAAGUUGAGUAGCAAUACUUAGCCAAGAGUGUCGUACGGGUGCGUAACACGUAUGCAACCUACCCUAUACAGGAGGAUAGCCUAGGGAAACCUGGAUUAACCCUUCAUAGUAUUAUUGGAUGGCAUCAUUUGAUAAUUAAAACUGAGGUGGUAUAGGAUGGGCAUGCGUCUGAUUAGUUAGUUGGCGGGGUAAUGGCCCACCAAGACGAUGAUCAGUAGGGGUUCUGAGAGGAAGAUCCCCCACACUGGCACUGAGAUACGGGCCAGACUCCUACGGGAGGCAGCAGUAGGGAAUAUUGGUCAAUGGAUGCAAGUCUGAACCAGCCAUGCCGCGUGCAGGAAGAAGGCCCUUUCUGGGGUUGUAAAACUGCUUUUGCCAGGGGAUAAAAUUUCCAUGCGUGGAAAACUGAAGGUACCUGGUGAAUAAGCCACGGCUAACUACGUGCCAGCAGCCGCGGUAAU